rnacentral:lncRNA from 1 species
UCAGUUAGAGACGCCCUGCCCCACCGCCCGUCAUUCCCGAUUGUAUUUGCUUGAGUUUCUAAUGUUGUCUCCUUGAAUUCUUAAGGAUCAAAUUACUCUAAGAUUUCUUCCAAAACAAUACAUAUUUUUAAAUUAUUACAUUUUAUUUAUAUCUAUUUAGAGAGAAAGACACAGAGAGAGACAAAGAGAAAGAGAGACAGAAAGAGAGACAGAAAGAGAGGAGACAGCGGAAACAGAGACAGAGAGACCGAGGAGACAGAGAAAGACAGAGAACUUAAGACUUACAGUAUAGCUCAGGCCUGCCUGGAACUUACUGUGUUCUUCAUCUUGUGACCCUCUUGUCUCAGCCUCUGGAGUGCUGGGAUUAUAGUUAGUGCUAGAGACUGAACCCAGGUCCACAGCCAUGUAAACCACGCAUUCUACCGUGAGCACGACCCUGUUAGUGAGCCAGCCAUGUGCUCCUCCGGGAUUUCUGCUCCAAGCUCAUGGUUGAGUUCCCAUCCUGACUGUCUGCGGUGAUGACUGUGAAUUGGAAGUCAGAAGCCAAAGAAGUCCUUUCCACCCUUGGGUCCCUUAUAUGGGGUGUUUGUCAUUGUAACAACAAAUUAAAAGGUGACCUGGAAGUGUCUAUGAGCUUCGGAACCUUCUGCCUCCACUGUCUAAAUGCUGGGGCUAGAGGAAUACAAUUUAUGCAGUGGGGAAGAUGAACCCAAGGCUUCAUGUGUGCUAGUCAGGACUCGUUCUUGAGAAGAGCAGCUUUGGAAGAGACAGCCAAAAAGUGAUACAGGGCACGAAGAGCGGGAUACGUCUGAUGAGGACAUUGACAGUCAUCCACACACAAGGGAAAGAGGUGAUGGCUGACAGUAGGUGGGAAGGUGCCAGGAUGACAGGUGAGAGCCACUAAGCUCCGCUU